CUUGCAGAGUCUAGUACAGUUGCAGUUGCGGCAGCAAUCGCGAAUCCAAUCUGCCACAUGCCCACAUGCAGCUUGCGAUCAUGAGGAGUGAGUGGAUUCCUGCGUUCGACCUGCUCGCUCUCAUGGCGUAAUUUACUGCCUGAAUCAAGGUCGGAGUUCCUUGCCAUAUCGCAGCGCCAAGUCCGCCGGUGCUGAUGCACUAUUUUGGGGACAGCGGCGGCCGGACUGCGAGAAGCCGCAGGAGGUGACUGAAGCAGGCCGAGCUCCGCUCAAAGAGCGCGCCGAUGAUGUUUGAAGAAAUGGCCCCGUCGACGAAAUGCCCCCGUGCGGAUGCAGGACUGGUGCUCGACGAAAUGCCUGCAAGAAACCGGCAAAUCCUGAGAACGGCCAUCUCGUGUCCUUUUCUCCUGCCCAGCUCGCCAGGCGCUGCAGCUGGGGCGAUGCUUUCUCUGAAGUUCUCUGCAAUGGCCGGACGUAAUUCCAGGCUGGACGACACCUGCGCACUGUAUGGGACCCGAGUGGCUGCCACGUUUUUACAUCCUUGGGCCUCCAUUAGACGACAACCAUGGCAAAAGAAGAGAAGUUCACAACUGGUCUCCAUGAACACGCAGCCAUGCUUCCUCGGUUCCUCCGCCAUUUGAAGGGAAAUCAUGCUGUGCCUUCGGUGGGAUGAAAUUGAAGUGAAAAAGACAACGCGUAAGGCAUGACUCCGCGUCGUGGAGCUCCACUCGGGAUGGUUUCUCACAUGCUGGCCCUUGUUGUGACCAGAAGUGGAUGAUAUAAAAUGUGAAGUCUCUUGUCUUGGGGUCACGUAAACUAAGCGAUUUCAAGUUCAGACGGCCGGAUUAUGCAUGUGGGGGUUAGACAACGCUCUCGAGUAUUGACUAUUCCCCAUGAGUUAUGUGCAACUCCUGGAUGAUGCGCGUAUUAAGAUUCUUUGACCAAGAUUAGGAUUGCCACCAGCAGCAGCCUCAACCACCAUUCAUCUUGCUGGCACCUGCAGGGGAGGAGCUGGCUACGGCGCAUUGUAAGCCCAUUCAAAACAAGUGAAUCCUUCACUAGAUUAGUGUUUGCUAUUGUUUAUUUAUGGUGGAUGAAACAUGACCCAGCUGUCAUCUGACCUAGCUUAGUGCCUGAGCACUUGCUUAAUUACUUGCCAGACAUAGUUUUCCGUGCAUGUGUUUGUUGGUAAGAGGCUGAACUUGGGUCUCAAAGAUUCUGAUGAGCCUAUUCGAUCAUCAGCAUUGUGUACCGACUGCUUGGAGGGCGAGAGGGAGAUGCUACGGCAGUGGGCUCUACAUGCAUGACAUAAAUCACUCCUUGCCAAGGAUUUGGUUAUCGGGA